AUUGAACGCUGGCGGCAGGCCUAACACAUGCAAGUCGAACGGUAACAGGAAGCAGCUUGCUGCUUUGCUGACGAGUGGCGGACGGGUGAGUAAUGUCUGGGAAACUGCCCGAUGGAGGGGGAUAACUACUGGAAACGGUAGCUAAUACCGCAUAACGUCGCAAGACCAAAGAGGGGGACCUUAGGGCCUCUUGCCAUCGGAUGUGCCCAGAUGGGAUUGGCUGGUAGGUGGGGUAACGGCUCACCUAGGCGACGAUCCGUAGCUGGACUGAGAGGAGGACAAGCCACACUAGAGCUGGGACACGGACCAGGCGCCUGCGGGAGGCAGCAGUGGGGAAUAUUGCACAAUGGGCGCAAGCCUGAUGCAGCCAUGCCGCGUGUAUGAAGAAAGCCUUCGGGUUGUAAAGUACUUUCAGCGGGGAGGAAGGGAGUAAGGUUAAUACCUUUGCUCAUUGACGUUACCCGCAGAAGAAGCACCGGCUAACUCCGUG
rnacentral:rRNA from 1 species